GGUAACUGGGAAUCUGAAGGAAGCUGGAGGCAAAUCACUGGCCUGACGAACAGAAAUCAUGAAGGCUGGAUAUGUGGGUAAGGCUGCUUAACAAGUCAAAGCCCAAUAGCUGUACGGAAGCAUAUUCAGUAACCAUGGCAGGUAUAUGGUGAGAAGGAA
rnacentral:ncRNA from 1 species